rnacentral:rRNA from 1 species
UACGUAGGGUGCAAGCGUUGUCCGGAAUUAUUGGGCGUAAAGAGCUCGUAGGCGGUCUGUCACGUCGGCUGUGAAAACCCGAGGCUCAACCUCGGGCCUGCAGUCGAUACGGGCAAACUAGAGUACUGCAGGGGAGACUGGAAUUCCUGGUGUAGCGGUGAAAUGUGUAGAUAUCUGGAGGAACACCGGUGGCGAAGGCGGCGUCCUGGACCAACACUGACACUGAUGAGCGAAAGCCAGGGGAGCAAACGGG